rnacentral:misc_RNA from 1 species
CUGUGAACACGUUUAAAAAUUGGCGUUGGGCGUCGGUAAAACCUGUGCCCCUCGCCACCUGCUCGGCCGAACGAUGACCAUACCGGGCUGUCGGUCGUGUCGGGCAACCGAAUAAAAAACCGGCGCGGGAAGCGCCAAGGACUUUAUGAAAUGGGAUGCCUUCCUGCGGAGAGGGGCCGUUCGCGGAUUCCUCACCGUGGGGCUUGAGAGGCGCCUCUGAACGAAACAAUACACGACUCUCGGCAACGGAUAUCUAGGCUCUCGCAUCGAUGAAGAACGUAGCAAACUGCGAUACUUGGUGUGAAUUGCAGAAUCCCGUGAACCAUCGAGUCUUUGAACGCAAGUUGCGCCCGAAGCCAUUAGGCCGAGGGCACGUCUGCCUGGGCGUCACGCAUCGCGUCGCCCCCCCCCC